AGAACGAACGCUGGCGGCAGGCUUAACACAUGCAAGUCGAACGCCCCGCAAGGGGAGUGGCAGACGGGUGAGUAACGCGUGGGAAUCUACCCAGUUCUACGGAAUAACACAGGGAAACUUGUGCUAAUACCGUAUACGCCCUACGGGGGAAAGAUUUAUCGGGAUUGGAUGAGCCCGCGUUGGAUUAGCUAGUUGGUGGGGUAAUGGCCUACCAAGGCGACGAUCCAUAGCUGGUCUGAGAGGAUGAUCAGCCACACUGGGACUGAGACACGGCCCAGACUCCUACGGGAGGCAGCAGUGGGGAAUUUUCCGCAAUGGAGGCAACUCUGACGGAGCAACGCCGCGUGCAGGAUGAAGGUUUUCGGAUCGUAAACUGCUUUUCUCGGGGACGAGCAAGGACGGUACCCGAGGAAGAAGCCCCGGCUAACUACGCGCCAGCAGCCGC
rnacentral:rRNA from 1 species